GACGAACGCUGGCGGCGUGCUUAACACAUGCAAGUCGAGCGGAAAGGCCCUUCGGGGUACUCGAGCGGCGAACGGGUGAGUAACACGUGAGUAAUCUGCCCUUGGCUUUGGGAUAACUACCGGAAACGGUGGCUAAUACCGGAUACGACGCACUCAGGCAUCUGAUGUGUGUGGAAAGUUUUUUCGGCCAGGGAUGUGCUCGCGGCCUAUCAGCUUGUUGGUGGGGUAAUGGCCUACCAAGGCUUCGACGGGUAGCCGGCCUGAGAGGGUGACCGGCCACACUGGGACUGAGACACGGCCCAGACUCCUACGGGAGGCAGCAGUGGGGAAUAUUGGACAAUGGGCGGAAGCCUGAUCCAGCAACGCCGCGUGAGGGAUGACGGCCUCGGUUGUAACCGUACUUUCAGUACCGACGAA
rnacentral:rRNA from 1 species